UACGGGGGGUGCGAGCGUUGCUCGGAAUCACUGGGCGUAAAGCGCACGUAGGCGGAUCUUUAAGUCAGGGGUGAAAUCCUGGAGCUCAACUCCAGAACUGCCUUUGAUACUGGAGAUCUCGAGUCCGGAAGAGGUGAGUGGAACUCCGAGUGUAGAGGUGAAAUUCGUAGAUAUUCGGAAGAACACCAGUGGCGAAGGCGGCUCACUGGUCCGGUACUGACGCUGAGGCGCGAAAGCGUGGGGAGCAAACAGG
rnacentral:rRNA from 1 species